UUUGUUUUUGGUAUGAAAAAAGGGUCUAAUAUGCAUGGAAAUAAUUUCUAACACGUAUGUGCAAGUUCUCCAUACCACAACUAUGAAGAAUCUUAUGUUUAAGAAAUCCAACUAGCUAUUAGCUUGCAUAUUAUCUCAUCCAUGACAAUUAAUUGGGUAUUUCAUGAGAUCGAGGUUUACCUAAAACGAAUAUCCUUGCUCGUUAUAGAGGCAAGGUUUUACUGCAAUCGACGAGCAGUGGCAUUACCUAUACCAACUGAAAAACACUCACUUUUCAAACACCUUAAUCUAACCCAAUCCUGGCCAAACAACACCAAACAAAUCUCUCUUUCUCUCUCUCUUUCCCCAAAGACGCGUCACCCUCAUCGACUGGGCCAGAUAAGGAGAGAGAGAGAGAGAGAGAGAGACCACGAGUAAAUGAUAAGACCCUAGGAGAGGGGUGGGCGAGAGCGAAAAAGAACUACGGCCACAUUCUUUUCUUUUUCUUUUUGUGGGUGAGUGAUCGUUAGGUUUUAAAUAAGUGGUACCUAUAUGUCCUAAUCGUAGCUUUCGUGCUACGGUCCAGCUGCUACAAAAACUUUUCCUUGCAAACGAGUAUACACAAUCUUAAGGACAUUGAGAAUAUGUUUUGAGUUUGAGUACGUAAAAAAAAUUUGAUAAGUAAGUUUUCUAAUUUGAAUAGAUCUUUUACAAGGGGUUUCCUAUUUGUGAACCAAAUAUUAUAUAUAUAAGUGUGUAUAUAUAACAGGUGCUAGUGCGGUAAUCACCACAGACAAUAUAUGUAGUGAGGUGGAGCCUAUAAAGUCCAUGAUUGCUGAGUUUGACAAGUUAUGCGUUCGAUUUUUUUGAUAGAUAUGGAUGCAAUGACAGUUUUGUUUUAUUUGUGAUAGAGGAGGUUAACACAGAUGGUGAAUUUUUUUAUUGUAGCUGCUAAGUUUAACACGUGGUGAAUCUUGAAAUUCUGCAGUAAUAAUGGAGAAAAUGAAGUUUUAGGAGCCAUCAUUUUCUAAACUGAAUUAGCUUUGCCAAAGAAGCUGGUCAAUAAUGCAAUGGAAGUUUUAGUUAAAAAUGAAAAAAAAUCUAUAACUUGUAUAAAAUGACAAAAGCAAACUAUUCCAUGGAGUCUUUGUCACGAGCCUAAUUUUUUGCCCCUAUUCAGUGACAAGUUCUAAUUGGUCAUGAUUCACGAGGCAAAAAAUUAGGCUCGUGACAAAGACACCAUGGAAUAGUUUGCUUGUCAUUUUAUACAAGUUACAGAUUCUGGAGCAUUAUUGAGUGAUGAUGGGUCCAUCCUAGCAUAUCCAGGGACAUAACAAUCUUUGACAUGCUACUUCAGAGUUAUCAAUGCAUCCAUCUCUUAGCCCACCGCAGAAAAUUAUUAGAUAUAUCAGAAAAAGAGAAGAUGAUGAGGAACAUGAACAAAUUCUUCUUCCCUGGUAACACGAGAAUCCGAAUCUUCGACUUGACUAAUUUCAGUCUCUGUCCAUGUUUAAGACGCUGUUCACUUGGGUGGCCUCCAAAGUUUUACCUAAAUGCGAGAUGUCGUGAUUUGGAUACCAGAUUUGCCAUAUAACAUGAAGCACUUGACCACUCAACUAAUCCUAUGGAAUCUGACUGAACAACUUCAAUCCAUCAGACGCGCAAGCUCUUCAGCUAUUUUGGUUUCGGUUUGUUAGUUUUGAAUAGUAGAUCUAUAUUUACCCAUAAAUCUGGCAAGCUUGAAACAUAGCAAUAGAAACUACACGAUUCUUAUGUUAGGAUAGCAUUAUUUUGGAUCAUCUUGAUGUCAGGCAAACAAUUUUAAAUGCCCGGAGAAAAUCAGCAAAGUGCGGAUUCAAUUUGAUAGAGCAAAACAAUUAGUAACACAUCAGAUAAAA